AACACUGUUAACCUGCGGUACCUGCGGAGGGAUCAUUAAAGAUUGACCGAAAGGUCUUAUCUCUAUAUCCCUCACCUCUGUGAACUGUGGACCUCCGGGUCUAUUUAACAAACAUCAGUGUAAUGAACGUAUAUAUCAUUAAACAAAACAAAACUUUUAACAACGGAUCU
rnacentral:misc_RNA from 1 species